GCCACUAUAGCUCAGUUGGUAGAGCAGCUGAUUUGUAAUCAGCCGGUCGGAGGUUCGAGUCCCUCUAGUGGCUCC
rnacentral:tRNA from 1 species